rnacentral:rRNA from 1 species
AGAAUCAACGCUGGCGGCGUGCCUAACACAUGCAAGUCGCACGAGAAAGGGAGUUCGCUCCUGAGUAAAGUGGCGCACGGGUGAGUAACACGUGAAUCAUCUACCUCCGAAUGGGGAAUAACUGAGAGAAAUCUUAGCUAAUACCGCAUAAUACCUACGGGUCAAAGCAGCAAUGCGUUUGGAGAGGAGUUCGCGGUCGAUUAGUUAGUUGGCGGGGUAAUGGCCCACCAAGACGAUGAUCGAUAUCCGGCCUGAGAGGGCGCACGGACACACUGGAACUGAAACACGGUCCAGACUCCUACGGAGGCAGCAGUGGGGAAUUUUGCGCAAUGGGGGAAACCCUGACGCAGCAACGCCGCGUGGAGGAUGAAAUAUCUUGGUAUGUAAACUCCUUUCGAUGGGGAAGAUAAUGACGGUACCCAUAGAAGAAGCCCGGCUAACUUCGUGCCAGCAGCCGC